rnacentral:lncRNA from 1 species
AGCGCGUACGUCGGCAGCGCGGAAGUUAGGGUCUCGAGGAGGCUGCCACCGGCUGAUCCUUCCUCCGGCGGCCGCCCUCCGUGGCCAGUUGUCGGACUCCGGGAAGUAGGCGCUGAGGGCUCGCCCCCUGCGUAUGUGAGCGCUUCUGUCUCUCUGGCGGCUACGCACGGCUGUCGCUCUGGAGAGACUGAGGAGGAAACGGGGGUGGGAGGGGAUUGCGACUGCAGUGGGACGCGGGAGCGGCGGAAGCACCGCGCUGGAGCGGUCCGGUGGCGUCGCCGGGCUUCCUUGCCCUCCCUCCGCCCGGCCGGGCUGGCUCGGAUCCCCGGGUCGAGCGCGCUGCUGCGUCACACCAGGCAGCCAGGCCGCCACUGUUGAGCAUCUCCGGCCGCCUCCCACGCCCGGGCGAGUGCACGGCCCGAGCUCCCGAGCCGAAGCGAAAGAAUGCGAGCUCAGGUUGUUGACGUCCUGUGACGCUGCUGGAUUGCAUUUGUGGGUGACCGUUGCCUGGUUCAGAAAAGAACUUUCACCAUCUUUGCUUUCUAGGUCCCUCCCUGGAGGGCGGAUUAAAGGAUGCCGCGACGAAUCGCAAAAGAACAAAAGCUCUCCAGGGACGCUGGUAACUGUCUCAUUUUAACGUGCUACAAUUUAGUUGAUAGUUUUCUGUUGUAACUGUAUCUGCGGGACUUGCUGACAACUCUUUGAGUGUGCUGAAAACAUUGUAUUUUCAGGCGCGGUGGUGACCCCCUCCCUUGCUCUAUUGUUGAAAGCAUUUAUUUUUUAAUCAGAAUUCUUUACACAGCCGUUUUUUUUGUUGUUGUUGUUGUUUCUACAGGUACACAGUUAAUUUUUAGGGGUUAACUUUUUUUUUUUAAUUUUCUAAUUACGUUCUUUUGUCGUUUGAGAUGGUGUAAAGACCUGCGUUGGAGUGUCUUAACAUCCAUUCCCAAAAUAAUUAUUUCCCCGUUUGGGAAAUAGUCGUUUAACUGGUUUGGUCCAGAAAGUUCAAGGAGAUCUCAAAAUGUUUAACUCCAAAUAUGUGCUUAUUAUAUUCAAGAGUAUAUUUAUCCUUGGGGAGUGGGGGGAAGUAUGAGGGCCCUAUUCAAAAACUACUGUACCCUGUACGGUAUAUUUCUGCAGGCCAUUGAAUAGUGAAACAAAAUAGAACAUCACCAUCUUUUUCUUCUCUUUCCUUUAACCCUAGAUAUUAAACAGCUCUAAUGCUGAGUUUUAGGAAUAGCAGGAUCAUGCAGGAUGUAGCUCAGCCGUGUAGCGCUGGCCUGGCAAGCGCGAGGUCCCCAGUUCGAUUCUUGGUACCAAAAAGGAAAAAAGAUCUUAAGAGUAUAUCCUCAAGGUGUAAAUGCUGAGUGUGAAAAACAAAGUGUAAAUGAGGACCAAAAUGUAUGAUAGAUAUUGUGAAAUAGGAAGAAAAUGUUCAAAGGGGAAGGAGAACUAGGGAGGGGGAGCAGGGAAAGGAAAGAAGGGAAAGAAAAAAUUGAAAAAAGAAGGAUGAAACGGAAGCAAAGCUUUUUGUAAAUAAGGAGGGAUGGAGAGGUUAAAAGGGAAGAGGAAUGGGGAAAAAUAAGAACCAAGAUGUAUCAUGUACAGGUACAAAUUACUAAUGAAUGUUUUCAUAAUGUAUACCUAAAAUGUACUGAUAAACUUAAUUAAAAAAAAGGAAAAAGAUCAUGCAAAUAUACAUUUCUGAAUUCCCUGAAGUAUUACAAACUAAGUACUGACCUUUAACAUUAAGCUUUAUAUUAAUGUUAUAAAAUAAUGGGAGCUUCCUGGGCCUUUAUUUUUGUUACCAGAUUGGUAAAUAAAAAAUUAAAAUUACAGAAAUACUAACCAUACAGAUAAAGCAUCUUAUAAUCAGAAGCAUUCGGUUAAUAACAUUCUCAAUUAAAACUACAUUAUGUCAUGUUAAAAAAAGAGUUACUGUAGAAAGUCUAUUUUACAUAUUUUCUGAAAGCAUAUGUCAAACCUUUUACCUGUGCCUUUGAUGUGCUAGUCUACAUGUAAGAGCUCUAAUAACUUUUUUCAGAAACAUAUCUUGCCAAAUUUAUAAAAUAUUGAACCUUGGAGAGUUACGUUUCAGGUAAAAUCAUAACAUUUUAUUGCUUUGCAAAAUUUUAGAAUGACUGUUAAGAAUAUGGAGAAAUAAAAGUAAGUAGAAAAUAGCAACAAUUGUGCCAGUUUGGUUUUUUUAAGUCAGUAGGAAUGCAAACGUAUUUUUUGAUGAUUUGUUACCUGCAUAAUUAAAUUCUGUUUCAGUUUGUAUGAAUUGUCUUUAUUUUUGCUUUCUGGUACUAAAAAUAUUAGCCAAACACUGAUAAUCUCAACAUGUAAAUAGCAAAAAUGCCAGAAAAUUAACAUUAACCAGGAAGCUUUUGUUACUGUUUAAUUUCGCAUUUGGAAAAUUACACAUCCCUUAGGAAUUUACAGUGUCUAAGACAGCAUUUUAUGGGUCUUUAAUUCUGAUAUACUCUACUAGAGCUAAUCACCAGUGGGUACUCUUCAGUGGGGAUGGACAGAAAAUCACUUUUCCAGAAUUGUGAAGUGAAGUAGAAUGCUAACUCUCACUUUUCUGCUAAUUUUUUGAAUGCCAAGAUAGAAAUUACAUUUCAUAAUAAUGUUCUCAUUGCCUAAAAGUUGUGCAAACAAGUUGCCCCUAAAACACUUAGUAUUAAAGCCGCUGGCCUGGGAUUAAGCUCAGUGGUUCCAGCACCUGCCUUGAAAACGCAAGGUCCUAAGUUUGAUCCCAGGUACCCCCCCGCCCCCGCCAAAAAAUAAAGAACCUGAUAAAGCCAGGGACUUAGCUCUGUGGCACUGCACCUGCCUCGUAAGCUCAAAGUCCUAAGUUUGAUCCCCAGUACCAAAAAAACCCACUUAGUAUUGAAAUAUGGACAGUCUCCAACUUCACAUGGGUCAGCUCAAUAUUUUUCAACUUUAUGAUGGUGUGAGAGUGAUACACAGCCAGUAGAAACUGCUUAAAAUUUUGAAUGUUGAGCUGGGCAUGAUGGUGCAUACCAACACUCAGGAGGCUGAGGCAGGAGAAUCGCUGCAAGUUCAGUGCCAGCCUGUGCUACAUAGUGAGUUCACCACCCGCCUGUGGUGAACUCACUAGACCAGUGAAACCUUGUCUCAAAAAGCAAAUUGUUUUCUCUUUAUUGAAUAUUUAUCUUUCCCUGAACUACGGAUGUGUAGUAAAUGCUCAAUGCUGAGCAGCAGCAAAGUGCAGCUCCCCAUCAGCCAGUGAUCAAGGGGGUAAAAACCACUACCACUGGUACUCUGGGUACUAUGGUGUUAAGCCAUGAUGUUCAGUAGGUUGAGUGUAUUAAAUGUAUCUAUGUGUUUGUGGUACUGGGAAUUGAACCCAGGGCCUUCACACUGAGCUACAUUCCCAGCUCUCUGUCUUUCAUUGCAUAACCCCAUUUUAAGUCAUGUAUUAGUAGCCUCAAAUCAUCAUCACCCACAUCCUUGCCAAACAGGAAAGUCUUUCCAAAUAUGUAUUUAAAUUUACAGAGUCCUUUGAGUAGAACUCAUGAAAUUUUAAGUUAUAGUGAAGAUUCACUGUACAUUUUCUAUUUUCCUAAUCAUAAAAAGGUAUGGGUGAGGAAUUAGGGGUUCCAGUUUCAGGUGGGGAGAGGAGACUAUCACCUAGGAAACUUUUUCCUAAUUACAGUGCUUUCUUGACUCCCAUUCCACCCUCUUCUAAUCCGAGAAUUUCUAGAAAGCAUUUGGGAAAAUUUCCCAGGUUCUGAUACCCACCAGCAGCUCCUCCAUCUUGUUUAUGGCCACUGUAUUUGGGGAUUUUGACUGUUAAGUCCUUUGUUGUUUUGUUUUUUAAGAGAGGGACUCUCGCUGUGUUGCCUGGCUUGGCCUUCAACUCCCGAGCUCAAGUGUCCUCCUCCCUCAGCAGUCCAAAGUAGCUGGGAUUACUAGCUCUUGGUCUGCCCACACCUGGCUCUUGACUGACGCAUUUUUGAAUCACAAUAAAAGUUCAAAGAGAAAGUUCUUAGAGAUGAUACUGAGAAGCAACUGUGUGUAAAAAUGUAACAGACAUUGGGUGGAUUCAAAGAUAGCUACUUCUUCUACUUACAAAAUUGUUUCUGUACGGUAAGAAAAAAAGAUGUUUAGCUAAAUAUGUAAAUUAUCAUAUAAACAUGUAUGAAGGUAUCAUACAUACAUGAUAUUCUAAUUAACCUUUUCACAGCUGACCUCAUCACUGCCUCCCAUCUUUCCUAGUAGACGCUCAACAUCCUAGACACACAUCUCUUCAGAGGCCGUAAUUCUCAGGACUGGGGUGGAUGCUUUGAAGGAGCAUGUUGCUAGACACUUGUGAUGGGAACUCAUUUUUCUUUCUUGAAGUACUGGAGCAAUCUGUAAAUGUGACUUCUCAGCUCAGAUCCUGUGAAGCAGAGCUGUGCUGAUGAAGGAAGCGCAGCAGAAGAGAUGCCUGUCACAUUCAAGCCCACUCACACUUCUUCACGUCUCUUCCCCCUGCUGGUCUCAAGUUGAGAAGAAAGAGCUAACACAUUAAAGCAACCCGGAUAUCCGGAGAGUCCAUGGAAGACUGCUGCCCUAGAACAAUUCUUCACUGUGUAGUCAACUUGCAGAAGAGAAGUGUAUGUUCUUUUGAGAUUUUUCUUUUUCUUUUUCAUUACAGCAAUAUAACCUGACUACAGGUUAUUAUAACCUAUUACAGACACACCUGACUAAAUGCAGCUAUUGUACUACUUUUAAAGAUGUUCUUACUCAACCUAUGUAGAAACUUCAGGGUUUUUAAAAUAAUACUUUCUGUAAAACAAGGGCUUUAUUAGUGUAAACAUCUAUAACAGAAAAAAAAAAGAAGGGAGUUAGGGGAGGUUGGGACAGCUAUCAGAUUGCAAUGCAAGUCUGGUUCUUUUUGUUGUUGGUUUUUGUUUUGUUUUGUCUUUUUGAGACAGUUUUUGCUAUGUAGUCCAGGCUAGCUUUAAACUCACUGUGUAGCUCAGGCUGGCUUGGAACAGAUGGUGAUCCUCCUGCCUCAGCCUCCUGAGUGCUGGGAUUACAGGCAUGUGCCCCUACACCUGCUGCAAGUCUGAUUCUGAGUGAAGAAGACGGCAAAGAAAGGAGGAAGGCAGGUGGGUGAAGGCAGGCCAAAAUCUUUGGCUGCCAUGCUGCCUAAGGAAAAUAGGGGAUUUAUCAUUUGGAGUAAUUGUCAAUUUUUUUUAUACCC